AAUAUCGCACAUGCCGUUCUGAAAAAAGUCACUUUAAAAAUCCCUUAAUAUUAGCAGAAAACAGGUUGAGUCAGGCAAUCACAUGGUUGUGUGAUAUGAGUGCUAGUGAGGACCAUGUGUCUCACCUGUGUGACAUGUGUGACCUUCUCUGUGACAUCUCGGUGGCGGUCCUUUACUUUGCUGGGAGCGAUGAUCUCGAUCUCAGUGGGCGAGGGCGGUCGCAAGAGGUCGGAGGCGAAACUGAGUGUGAGGGGGUUACGAGUGCUGGUCCUGCGAGUGCUGGUCCUGCGUCGCAUCAGGUCCGAGUCUGAGGUGGAGCUCAGAGUACCGGUCUUCAGGUGAGAAACAUCUUGGUUUAUACUGAGCAAAGCAUCUAAGUGAGAAAGAUACAGAGAAAGUGUAUUAUCUAUUUCACUUGUUUUGGCAAUGUAAACAUAUGUUUCUCAUGCCAAUAAAGCCAAUGAAAUUGAUAGAGUAAUGAAAUGAGAGGGAGUGUGUUAAUGCAUUGCGGGGAUGCAUGUAUUCCUCUACAUUAUUUCCCUGGGGUAGAUGGGAAGUCCACAGCCCUACACUCCAUAGCCCAUAGUAUUAGCUGUGUGAUGAGUAAAGGAUGGCCUCUGAGUGACUGGGACUCCUAUAGACCUGACGCAGACGCGCACACACGCACACACGCACACACACACACACACAGGCUAUAGGUUAGAGACAUUGAUUAGUGACCAUGCUGCUGCACAUGCUCAGUGCUUGAGGAAUGGGAGUGAGGAUUCGCAUUUUCUAGAGAACAGAAUACCUCCAACAGGCCCAGGUAGCUUUGGCUUGGUUUGUUUUGAUUCAGAUGGAACUGUAAGAGGAGACAGCCACAUUUCUUCCUGUCAGAGGGGGUACAAAAAUGGCAACAGACUACACUUAUGUCUGGGUACACACACACACAAACUCACUGCUGUAGGAGCGUGGGUCUCCUGGUCGGCCCGACUCGGCCCUCAUGCUGUCGAGGUCAUCCAGGGAGGAAGCUCUGCGGAGGCUGCCGACAGUCUCUCUGGAGCGGCUCCGGGGCAGGACCGUCCUGGGGAAGGCUGCACUGGAGAAGGGGCUGCUGGGGAGGAAGGGCACGCUGGGUUCCAGCCGCUCUGAAAAUAGGGACAGCAGUUUGGGGGAGUAGUGGCUUGCAGGCUGGGAGGACUCGUGGUCCUGCUCUAUCAGCGCCUCUGUCUCAGACUGCAUGCAGCUCUCCUUGGACGGGAUACGGAACUCUUUCAGAGGGAUCUCUUCACUGUUGGGCUGAAUUAGGGAAGGAGGAAGAGGACAACCAUAGGUUAAAUAUUGUACUAGAUUUCUACUUACUGCUAAAUGUAUGUGACUGAAGCUAUAUUCAUUACAAAACAUAAGAGAUACAGGAACUGAGAUAAUCAAGAUAUCUUAUAUGUAAGGUCAUAUUUCGAUGAGUACUGUGUGUAUAGAACUGUGUGUGUAUGGGAGUCUCUGGCCACCUUACCUGUAGGCAGUCCACCACCACCCCCUCAAACUGGUCUUUGGCGAGGGAAGACCGACGCAUUGCACGUACCAAUGGCAGUCUCAACUUCAGCCUGCGACUCUGCCCUGAGAAACCACAGAGUACUUAUACAUACACUUUACAUAAAUACACCUACAGUACCAGUCACAUUCUGUAUGUUAUAACACAGCUACAUUCAACAUGGAAUAAACAGGUUGAUGCAGACAGACAGUAUCACACACACACUUCCACACUGACCUGCCCAUACCCAACCCUGGGCCACCCUCUGUCUCAGACCUGGUUUCUUGAGGGAGGGGUCAAUCAUUUCCUGGAAGUUGAGGAUGAACAUGAUGACCUGUCCCUCCGCUUUCUUCACAGGAACAACAUCAAUCAGACAGGGCCUGCAGGUCCCUGCAGGGGGUAGAGACAUAACAUUAUAAAGCUGCUAAUGGCCAUCCGAACCUGGGCUCAAAGUCCUCCUGGUUUUGACCUUAUGCCUGCCCUGACACUGAGCCCUCCUGCCUGACCAUUCAGCCUGCCCUGACCUUGAGCCUGCCUGCCUCCCUGUACCGUUUGGAACUCUGACCUGGUUCUGAACUUUUACCUGUCCUCGACCUGCCUCUUGCCUGCCCUUUGUUGUUUAAUAAAUAUCAGAGACUCGAA